CUGACCCUGCAGCUCUGGGAGACGAGCUCCAGCCUUGGGAUUCCCAACUGUCUCCACUCGGUGAUCAGCACUGAAUACAGGAGACUCACCAUGGAGUUUGGGCUGAGCUGGGUUUUCCUUGUUGCUAUUUUAAAAGGUGUCCAGUGUGAGGUGCAGCUGGUGGAGUCUGGGGGAGGCUUGGUACAGCCUGGUGGAUCCUUGAGACUCUCCUGUGCAGCUUCUGGAUUCACCUUCAGUAGCUCUGCUGUGCACUGGGUCCGCCAGGCUUCUGGGAAAGGACUAGAGUGGGUUGGCUAUAUUAGAAGCAAAGCUAACAGUUACGCGACAGCAUACGCUGCGUCGGUGAAAGGCAGGUUCACCAUCUCCAGAGAUGAUUCAAAGAACACUGCAAAUGAACAGUCUGAAAGCCGAGGACACGGCCGUGUAUUACUGUACUAGACAUA